UACGGAGGGUGCAAGCGUUAUCCGGAAUCAUUGGGCGUAAAGCGUCCGCAGGCUGUCUAGUAAGUUAUGCAUGAAAGACAACAGCUCAACUGUUGGAACGUGUGUAAUACUGCUAGACUAGAGUGUUGGAGAGGUAAGCAGAAUUCUGCAUGUAGGGGUAAAAUCCGUAGAUAUGCAGAGGAAUACCAAAAGCGAAGGCAGCUUACUGGCCAAUCACUGACGCUCAUGGACGAAAGCGUAGGGAGCAAACAGG
rnacentral:rRNA from 1 species